CGGGGGAGGCCGGAUCCUGGGCUGUGUCCCGGCGCCCUGUGCUCCGGGGUCUGCGCUGUUGGAUUCGCGCUCCCGGGCCGCGCAACCCCCU
rnacentral:pre_miRNA from 1 species